rnacentral:rRNA from 1 species
UACGGAGGGUGCAAGCGUUAUACGGAAUCACUGGGUUUAAAGGGUGCGUAGGCGGCUUGAUAAGUCAGGGGUGAAAGCCCGCAGCUUAACUGCGGAACUGCCUUUGAUACUGUCGAGCUUGAAAGAGGUUGAGGUCAGCGGAACGUGACAUGUAGCGGUGAAAUGCAUAGAUAUGUCACAGAACACCGAUUGCGAAGGCAGCUGUCUGGACCUACUUUGACGCUGAGGCGCGAAAGCGUGGGGAGCGAACAGG